rnacentral:rRNA from 1 species
UACGGAGGGUGCGAGCGUUGUCCGGAAUCACUGGGCGUAAAGGGCGCGUAGGCGGCCCUGGCAGUCGGUGGUGAAAGCCCGUGGCUCAACUGCGGGUCGGCCACCGAUACUCCAGGGCUCGAGUUUGGUAGAGGCAGAUGGAAUUCCGGGUGUAGCGGUGGAAUGCGUAGAGAUCCGGAAGAACACCGGUGGCGAAGGCGGUCUGCUGGGCCAAGAC